GUGUUCAUAGCUCAGUGGUAGAGCACUUGUCUUAUGUGUACAAGACUCUGGGUUCAAUUCCCAGCACCACA
rnacentral:tRNA from 1 species